UAGUUAGUGCUGGGGUAGUGGUUGUAGUCGUUGGUGCUGGGGUAGUGGUUGUAGUAGUUGGUGCUGAGGUAGUGGUUGUAGUGGUUGGUGCCGGGGUAGUGGUUGAAGUAGUUGGUGUUGGGGUAGUGGUUGAAGUAGUUGGUGCUAGGGUAGUGGUUGUAGUAGUUGGUGCUGAGGUAGUGGUUGUAGUGGUUGGUGCUGGGGUAGUGGUUGUAGUAGUUGGUGCUAGGGUAGUGG